CCUAUCUUCUGAGGCAUUCCAAAAACUACAAUCAAGAACAAGGUGAUCACUGCCUUCUCCUGAAAAGUCAUUAGAGGAGGCGGUCAACCCAUAAGAAUAUGUCAUAACUUCAGAAAUAUGUACAAACUUCACUGCAAGGAGGCUCAGUUGUGGCUGUGAGGAGCUUCAGAACUUCUCUCCAUUGAUUGCCAUGGGACAUUCGUCUUUCUAAAGCCAUGCUUCAGGUGCUGUGUGGAUGGGGAGAAUUUGAGCUGCAUUAUGUUAUGGUUCAAAUAAUCUUCUAAUGCCAAGAGGUGCAGAAGAGAUGCAGCCUCCUUAGGCUUCAGUAGGCUCCCUGAUUUUCAGCAUGUCACAAAAAAUACAGAAAACACUGGUCUCUCCUUUUCUCUGAACUACUAUGUCAUAGGAAUGUGCUGAUGACACUGUGUCUGCUCAGAAUCCAGAGCUGGAGUACCAGAAGCCCUUCCGCACUGGAAAAGUCAUGUGGAAGAAAAUUGCACCAGCGUCUGCACAGACUAUUCCUGUCUCCUGUGAUUUCUGUACCAUUUGGAGUGGCUUGCUUAGACCACUGAAUCUCAAUAUCUCGGCAGCAGCUAGGGUUGUGCAUGUAAAAUGCUCAUGGUGUGAGCAAAGUUGUAGGAAUGAUUUGUGUGUGUAUGUAUACCCAGUUCCACCUUGGUUUAUCUGACUCUCUUUACAAACAUUAUGAAGCCAAAGGCUUCAAGGCAAUCUGCAGCCCUGGGCAAAUCUGUUUACCAAUGGGUAAAAUCCAGUGCAGGAGCACUGACAAGGUAAAAGAGUAAAACAGACUGAAUCUAGACACUGCAAAGAGCCCGAUACUUAGAUUUCCAGCUGCCUGCAUGCACUCACUGUAUCCCUCCAAGGGAGAGAGGUUUCACUGGGGAAAAAGAUUUGGGGAGUUAGAUAUGCAUCUGAACUACCCUGGUUUCCCCAGGGUUCUCCCCAUUUGUUGUGAAGUAAUUUGGAUCAGUUUGAAGUUUGUGACAGUUCAAAUGUAGGAAUAGUACAAACAGAUUCAUUAGCAACAAAGCAGGAAACAAAUGCGGAUGGUUAUAAGGGAAUGAACAGAAAUACUUUUAGUCUGUACCUUGAAAGUUGCCAGCAGACUCAGAAGCUCGUAACUAUAAGAAAA